rnacentral:lncRNA from 1 species
CUGGUUUGUUCACAGCAAAUCUUUAUCAAAAACUUCAUGUCUAAUUUCUCUUUCAGUAGCUACACUUUGUCACAAAGGAAAACAACUUCAAGCCCAGUUGCUCUUUUGUAAGAUGGCAACUUGAGAGUGCUUCAGCUGGUAAGUGUCAAAAUGUUCCAGGAACCCAUAGGCACAAAUCUUUUGAUUUCCAUGCAAUUUAAAGUACGAGAAAAACCUUGCUUAGAGAACAGUCAGGCUCUCCAGACUGUUUAAUACUAAUACUGCUCCCUUCUACUGCCCGCAUACCUCAAAGGCAGCAUAUUAAUCUUACAACUGAGUAGAUAAUGGCUCAGUCAACUGAAAAAAAAAAAAAAAAAAGAGCUUUCUAGAGGCCUGUGAGAAGAAGCAAAAACUCCAGUGCAGGAAGACAGAAACAGCAGGCACCAGAGCAAUGGCAGAUGUGGAAUGAAGAGGAAGUAGUGAAAAAUGAACUUGGAAACAUGAGCAAAAGGCAAGAACUCAAGAGUACAGAGCAGGAAAACUUAAUUAAAUAUUAGAAGAAUUUUACAAGUUUCAAAGCAGGCAUCGAGAGUCAAGACAGAAGAAGAAUUAGAAAAUUCUCCAUCUAGGAAAAAGAGGGGAAUGCCAGAACGUCCCUACUCGUCAAAGGUGGAAACCAGGAUGUGAUUGAUCUACAGAAUUCUUGGCAUACCUAAAGGAUGAAAGGAAUUACUGAAAUUAAGAGUUGGUUUAAUAUUACUGAAUGGUACCAGGGUUUCCAGAUCUCCAGGCUAGUCAGUAUAUUCUCUAAAUUGUUAGAUACAAUACCAAUCAUUGAAGAUUUUAAAAACCAGUGAAGAAACAGUGAAGCUCAUCUGACUGCAGAUGGACACUGCAUGCAUGUCUUACCAUGGUUGUUGAAAACUAUUUGUUUCUAAGGUAAAAAGAAUUCAUCAAGCCUUUUUUUAUAUACAAAAUAGAAAUCUAGACCUAAACAAAAAUGAUUGUAUAUUGUAUAUAUACAAGCCAGGCAUUUAUUCACAUGCAAGACAUAUUUAAUUAAUUAGUUUCUGCAACUGUGUGAUCAAUUGCAUUUCUCUUGCUCACAGGUUUUGUUUUAUUUUGUUUUUGUUUUUGAAUUCUCAGUCAUACGCACAUUUCCUCAUACAGAAAUGAUUUGUUGAAGAGAUUACAUCUCCCAUUGGAGUUCAGCAUAUCUUUAAUUACUACCAGAUCUUCAAAUAUUUUCAGAAGAUACCCAUUAGAAAGAUCAUCAACCAUUUCUAUCAUAGUUCUCCAAAGGAAACUUUGAGCAGACACUCUC